GUAUCGCCCAGUCUCUGACGAACCGCAACAGGCAGAGCAAUCAACCUUUUGGCUAAAAAGCUCGCUAUCUCUAUCUCUCACUUAUUCUGACAGUUAUAUACUAAAUACUCUUAAGCUACUUUAUUAUUUUGUGAUACAUCUGGAUUUAAAAAUGGCGGGCCAAACGUCGAGUAGGCGAAGGAGUUCAGUCAUUCCGGCACCAGCCCACGAAACGCAGAACAUUUUGAUGACUUAUUUUAUUUUGAUAGUGCUACUGAUAUCGUUGUAUAUAUUGUACUCUAUGUUUUAAAUAUCAUUGAUUCUCGACGCGGGGAAAAAAUCUUCGUAUCACGAUUUUUUUCAUCUUUUUAUAAAAUGUUCUCGAAAGUAUUUGUUUUCAAUUCAAUCUAAUUUUGAAGUGCAAGCGCAAUGAAUGAGUUUAUCAACCAGUUACGGUACAUUAUCAAAAUCAAAAAAUUAAUAAUGAACAUUUUUUAAACAACAUUUUCUCUGAACAUGCUUAAAAACUUUCAACUUACUCAUAUCAACCAUUAAAAAAAUUAUCGUUUUAUUUUACUCGAUUGAAUACGAUUUAAAAAUGUAUCAUCAUUUGAAAAACUUUGUAUCAAAAUACAAAAAGGUAUCGAUUUAUAACUAUAUUUUCAUAUUCAAACUAUUUUUGUUCUACCUUUCACGUCAAUAUGUUUAAUACAAUCUUUCAAAGAUUUUCCCCUGUCAUUAUAUUUUUUAAAUGUAGGUCAAGGACAUGUAAAUAAUGAAAUAAUGUCUGCAUGAAGUAAAGAGUAUAAAAAACGAAGAAUGAAACCACGAGUGUGGGUGAUUGGUCAAAAAUAGAUGAUAUUUUCACAUUACCGAAAAAUAACUCUGCGUGCGGAUAAAGAGAGAAAGAGAGGAAGAGAAAAUAUCCAGAUCCAUAUAAUCACACGUCUAAAGUCAUGUACAGAAAUAAAUACUCUGUUGAAUAAAUGUUUACUAUGAGUUUAAAAAACCUA